UUGCUUUGGCAGCAUAUAUAGUAAAAUUGGAAUGGUAUAGAGGAGAUUAGUAUGGCUUCUGCCAAAGGAAGGUACACCAUUUUGUGAAGUGUUCUAUAUUUUG